AAGAGAAUUAUUCUGCAGUUCAAUGAUGUGUAUAAUUUCAACCCACUGUCACAGAUUCACUUUCUGGUACUGUGGCAGAGUAGGAAAAGGAAACAACUGAAAAGACUUACUAAAAGCUAUGUGAGCAGAGCCUGAUGCACCCACGAGCUGUCUGGCAAUGUUAACCCUGUGCAUCAGCAUAUCCAGCUGCAAUCUGUAGAUCACUCCUUCAGGGACCCCGGUAAUUUAAAUUCAUGACAGGAAACCACACAUGGGAAAAGAGUACUCAGCUACUUAAAAAAGGAAAACAAUGUCACUGAAGAGCAGAUCUCAACAACUCUACCCAGUUUCGUCUUUCAUAAAACUUUAAUACAAUUAACUAAGGAAGUGAUUUACAUCUAAACACUCUCAUUGGCUGCAAAAGACUUCUGAAUACCAUAGUGAAAAUGAAUCAAAAUAAUAACACGUUCUCCCUGAAGGCGUGGUUAUUCUUCUCUUUCAGGAGACCAGCCUAGCAAGCAAUCACUGUUUCAGGGCUAAAUUCUGAAGGAAACAAGUUUUAAAUAAACGAAUAUGGGAGAGAAUGUGAAAAAAAAGGUAUAGGUUUUCAGACAUAUAUUUUGGACAAUGUGGGAAAUUCACAUCUCUACUCACUUUCUGGAAGAUCCAACUGUGUCCUCCAAGCCUGAUGAAGAUUCUCUGUGUUUUCUUUCCUUUUCAAUUAGAAGCCCUCGUGAAGUUUCCCACUCAUGCUUUACCCAGGACUUUGGAAACAUUGGACAUCCAGGAAAGUAAUCUAAGAAACUGGUAACUUCAUUUACGAUGUGGCAAGAAUCUCUAUCAACCACUGGCAUUAGGGAGGAUAUAUGUAUUUCUAUAUUCUAAAGUGGUCAAAAUUCUUCAGACUCUAUUUCGGUAUUUUGAGCAUGAUAUUCAUCUGUGAUGGAAUGAUAAGUGCAUCUUUCACUCAUUUGGCAAAGAUUCAUGACUGCCGGUUGAACUCAUCACUUAAAUUAUUUUUUUUUUGGAGCUGUGCUCUUUCACAUAAUGGCCCCUUUCACUUUAUGUGCAGCAAGAUCAAUUUGAGGUCAAGUUUUUUCUUGCAGAGUUAAGCUGAAAGCAAGUUGUUUUGAACCACGCAUUACUCUUUGU